rnacentral:misc_RNA from 2 species
UUUGGUUUGUUACGUGUGGUUGGCUGCGGCGUUUGCAACAACUUCCAUGCUUUCAGACCUCUUCAGUUGUGCGGCAAGGCUUGUAUCGCCUUGAGCGUAUUGUGGGUUUUCUGUGUUGGCUACCUAAUCAAUGGUAUCGGUUGGAUUGAUCAAUGUUUCAUUUCGUCUACCGUCGCAUUCGCGGCGUGAGAUGAACCUUGAUGCGGUCUCUUUGAUCCACCUCGUCGAAGCGCAUGCUUUGGCGUUGUGGCACAUUGAGCAUUGCUUGGUCUCUUGUAUACGGAACAUAUAGUGGGCAUGGAUCUAACGAUUCUCGUUUGCCCUCAUAUUAGCGUAACGCUUCUCUUACACGACUUGCWCCACGUUUUAG